rnacentral:rRNA from 1 species
CUCUGCUAAAGGUUUCUCCUGAAGUAUAGAGGGUGAAUUCUGCCCAAUGGUUGUAUAGUGAAACUGAGGACUAACGUCUAAAGCGAAACCCAACUGAAUGGCCGCGGUAACUCUGACCGUGAUAAUGUAGCACAAUAAAUAGCCAAUUAAUUGUUGGCGGGUAUGAAUGGAACCACGAGGGUCUUACUGUCUCAAGAGGAAAGCCGAUGAAAUUAUAAUUGUAGUGAAGAUACUACAUAAACAUUGUAAGACGAAAAGACCCUAUCGAGCUUUACUGGAUACCGAUAGCGUUAAUUUAGAAUGAUCGAUACUAAGUAUCCUAAUUCUAAGUUAAUAAUUUUUGUUGGUAGGACAGUUUAGUUGGGGCGACUACCUUUGAAUAAGAAACGAAGGCGAGCUUAUGGUAUUAUUAAAAUCUCAUUAGCCUCACAGUGAGGGGGACACCCCUAGCUGGCACAGGCCCUCAUAGUAUAUUAUAUGCGGAAGGGAUGUGGGCGAUAGUGACCCGAUAUGAUUAUCCAAAAUAAAUAUCGAAAGCGGAUAAAAGCUACCGUAGGGAUAACAGCGUAAUAUUGUCGGAGAGUUCUUAUCGAGGACAGUGUUUGCGACCUCGAUGUUGAAUUGCGGUGCCCUGGUGCUGUAGAAGGUACCUUAGGUUGGUCUGUUCGACCAUGAAA